ACAUUAACCUGUUAAUGAUUUGUGAAGGCAAUUCUAAAUGACACACUACUGUUAACUAACAAGAUGGCUGCCUAGUCAUAAAGUAUACGCCACAGACUGUCUUCAUAAUAAUACUGAGUUCAAACCUUUUUCACUGCCAUCCGUAGCCACCUAGAAUCAUCAGAAACAUAUACCAAACAUCUAGAAUACGAUUACCUUUUUCCAAAAUAUUAAUGUAUAAACCAUACAUUCAAUGAUUGAAACAUAGAAGCAUGUUUAAUACUUUAGAACUGAAAACAAAAAAGUACAAAUGAAGCUUAAUUACAUUAAUAUUGUUCAGAAUUAUAUGGUACGAUUAGAAUUAGUCAUUUAUUUCAUAAUUAGGGGAAGUUUUGACCUAGAGACAAAAUUGCGUGACUAGUAAAAAGUAGACCAGGUUUUGAGGAAGAAUAGAGAAAUGUAAACAAUAUAUCUGAAGGCUUUAGAGAGAAACGGUUCUUAUAGACGUAGAUUUAGAUUCACGAAAUUCGACGGUUCAAUUCCUUGUUAUUAUAGGCCUACGUGUUGUUCGAUAUUCGCACGCCAGCUAAAUGCGGAAAUUACCCGACAUUCACUAUCUGCGUCGACUAACUUCUUUUGUUGGUCUUUCGCCUAUGUUUUUGGAUUUCGUUAUUUGAUUGUACAUCUGUUUGAUUUAUCUGAUCUGCAUGAGACACAAUCAGAAGCUCAAGUCAUCGGCCUAGACUGCAGCUAGAACCUGAUUUUGUAGCUACGUUAGCGAAGUACAGUCAGUGGGCGUGGAUCUCUUCGAGGUAGCGAGAUAAACUUUUUUUUUAUGCGUAGGAGCAAUCGUAUAGUGAAGCAGUUCUGCUUUGAGAGUGAAACAGCUGCCUACAGUUUUAUUGUUGAACGGAGGAAAACCGUCCUGUCGAAGCCGUCCUGAAGAAAUCUCACUUGCCCGACAUCUUGUUGAGGUCACGAUAAAGAAGUUUUACAUAGAAGCCAUCCUACUACCCACGGCACUUGAGUACAGUAGUGUGAUACUGCUAUACUAAUCGGCUGAAUCUGUGACACACGUUACAUAGCCAGUAGCCUUUUUUGUGCCACUGGACUCUGUUUGACUUUGUCACUGUAGUUGCCCCUGGACAGUUCCAGUUUUGUUCUGUACCGAAGACUACCUUGAACCAUUUUGCCUGCGUCGGAACCAGCAACCGGUGCCAGACGACAGAUAACCGAGUACCAGAACCAGACGCCACAUCACAGAAGAACGGGAGCCUUUACAGACCAGUACCAAACGUUCGUUGUCUUGACCAGAGUGUUAAUGGAAACGUACAUUGCUGUGAGCCACCGGGACCUACAUUAGCGAGAGAAAAGUGGGGACCUGAGUCUGACUGGGAAGUUAUUGGAUGCGAAGACAGAUAAGUGUUUUUUUUAAUUUCUUUCUCCGUUAAAAUAAACUAGUCGACCGGCGGCGUAGCAUAUGCCGCUAUUUUGCAGGGCCGGUCUUAGGCCUCUGCAACCAAUGUGACCGAAGGAUCCGCACUUUCAUGGAACCGGCGCUAAUUCAAGGUGUAUAAAUUAUUAAAUUAAACCAUUUUAUAACUUAAAACAGAUUUCCCGCGCACUCCUGUCGAUUUACCAAGAGCUCCUGGAAAUCUCUCGAAAUGGCAAAAUAUACGAAAAAAUCCUUAAAAUAUACUGAAAUACAUAGAAAAAAAAAGUCAUUUUGGGGUGUCAAUAUGGAAAACGUCAAUCCUACGCGCUAUUAAUAAAAACGGCAUUAUGCAUUAGCCGUAAUUGUGUAAUCAGGUGAAAGAAGCUUCUUGCGCCUCAAACUAAUGAAGAAUUACUUGAGGUCAACAAUUCUCAAAGAUAGAUUGAAACAUUUGGUAAUUCUUGCUAUUGAGCGGGAUCUAUGUGGGAAACAGAAUUAUUAUGAUAUGCUGUAUGACUUUGCUACACGCAAGGCUCGUAAAGUAAUUCUGUAUGUAGUAAAGAAUGAAUAAAAUGCAAAGACGAAUUUAUUUUCUAAUACAAACUCAUAAUUUUCACUUAUCCGUAUCCCUACCCAAACUUGGCCCCGCGAAAUCUGUUUCGCAUAGGGCUCUACAAUGGUUAAAUCCGGUUUCGCUAUUUAGUGACAGAUGAAUACUAUUCCCAUCCCCUUGCAACUCUUUGUUUUCGCCUCUUAAAUUACCUAGGAUAAUUCCCUCCGUCCGACUUGCAAAAAUAAAAGAGUGAUCUUUCCAUGGUGUCCAAACUCUUGAGCGUGCUCUGUGUCGCCUCGAUAGUUACUACAGAGUAGUAUGCCCCCCCCCCUUUUUUUUUCUUUAACGUGAGGUAGAAAUAAAAAUAAAAAAGUGAUAUUUCUUGGUUACAACGGUCCGGCCCUGCUAUUAUGUUACUACGUGUUUUCCCCCUCCCCCAUCCCUUUCUUGUUUUCUAGUGGACUAUCCGCAAAAAUAAGAGAGUGAUCUUUCCUUUACUUCUUCUCGUUUAAACUGUUGAGGGAAGAAGAGAAUUAUAUAUAUAGAUAGCAUAUUUACACAUAGAUAUAGUAAAACAAAAAAAAAAUAUUUAUUAACUUACUGGCCGUCCCCACCCUAACCCAUAUAACUAUAGGCGGAAGUACAAAUAAUAAAUUUGGCACUAGCCUAUAAAAACAGAAUAUACAAAAAUAGCUCUAACCUAUAAAAGUAGAAAAAUAAAAAUACAUAUAAAAAUAGCUCUGGAAGCGCAAGCUCACAUAAGUUUGGUUGUCUGACUGGCCAACAUGUGUGAUGCAGUGCAGUCAAUCAUGAUGUUUAGCCGGUCUUAUGACCAGGUGACCCGUGGUGUUUCUAUGGGUCUCUAUAAGCCUUAUGAGAUCAGUAAAGCUCAAUAAUUGCAAAGUCAGGGAUAUAGUGUACACUUUCGAAAUAUGAGUUAGUAUAUCCUGGCGUGCUACCAGGUCCUGAGGUAUGCUUGCUGGAGUGUCGUUCGGUUGUCUCGAUUGGUCUAAGGUUCAUACCCUGCCCGCUGCCAUCCUGUCGUCCUGUGGGAGGCUUGGACUAGGAAAUAAAUUAUCUUUAACUCUAAAGGAACAUCCAAUAACAUGUAAAACAUUUUACAGACAAAUAUCUUACAAUAAAGUAAUGCAAACUUCUUGAGCUGACUUUUGGUAUUUUGUUUACAUAUAGCUCUAUAAAUAGAAAGAGAGAUGUAACACUAGUAUACAUUUGGCUAUAAAGAAAUAAGUAAAAAAAAUGGGUAUAUUUAUUUUUAAAUUUUAGUUUUCAUUUUCCAAGUAUACUGUUUUGCUACUUAUUUACUGUAAAAGUUUAUUUUCUACUUGCUUAAUUAAGCUUUUUUUUAUAUAAUAAAAAUGCUAAAUAAUUAUACUUUGUAAUUUUUAUAUUUCUAGUUUUAGUGAAAAGGAGACAAAAGAUAUCAAACCUGAAGAUGGAAAGAAAGAGUUGGAUGAAGAGCAAUGUGCUAUAAACCUCUCCGAAGAGAAAAAACUGAAAGAAUUGUCAGGAUGUUCUGGCUGAGUGGUUAAGUCCUUGGCUUCUGAACCUGGAGUCCUGGAUUCAAAUCCACCCUACUCUAAUGACUUUAGUUGGAGAAAGUAAAAGUGGUUGGUAGUUGUGCUGGCCACAUGACACCAUUGGUCAAAGAAACAGAUGGCCUUAACAUCAUCUACCCUAUAGAUUGUAAGGUCUGAAAGCCUGGUGGGAGAAAAGAAAAAGCAAUACAGGAAAAUUAUCCAAUGUAAACAAUGGAGAUAGAGGUGUAAAUGGAAAUGAUGACAACGCUACUGAUGAUUUAAUAUCAAAAGAUGUCGACAAAAAAUCCUAUGCUGCCCUGGAUGCUACCAAAAAAGACAAAUUAAAUGCCGAGUCGAGUCUGUGAUCUAUUUCGACCAGUUUCUAGAAGCGAGUUCAAACCAGUGCAAGUGUCCAGCGUAAACAAGUUAAUUUUAGGUAUCCAAUCAAAGAAAGGGGUUAAGGAAAAAAAUAGCACACGUCAGCUUCUAGAAGGUCAAAGUUACUAAAAUAAUUAUCUGAGAAGUUUCCAUGAUUCUGGAAUGUACGAAAAAAGUAUAAAUUAGGGGAAUGUCAGUUAGACGGGGUCCUCGCAUAGUAGUAGUUCUUGUAGAGCUAUGGUCCUCGCAUAGUAGUAGUUCUUGUAGAGCGAUGGUCCUCGCUUAGUCCUAGAUUAGUAAUGGUUUGAUAGAGUUAUAAGUGAUAUUAGCGGGUCCAUUAAUUAAAGUUUCAUUAGUUAAAGUUUUAUUAGUUGAAGUUGAAGUUAUACUAAGUAAAGUUUCAUGUAUCUUUAAGUUUUAUUUCUGAAUUAUCAAGUCAAGUUGUUAUUGAACUCAGAAGUUAAUUUGAUGUGAAAGUUGAAGAAGUAUUAUUAAAGAAGCUUUAAGAAAAUACA